rnacentral:tRNA from 3 species
GGGGCCAUAGCUCAGUUGGGAGAGCGUCUGAAUGGCAUUCAGAAGGUCGUCGGUUCGAUUCCGAUUGGCUCCACCA